GAUUAACGCUGGCGGUAUGCCUAACACAUGCAAGUCGAACGGGCUCUUCGGAGCUAGUGGCGGACGGGUGAGUAACACGUUGGAACCUACCCCGAAGUGGGGAAUAACUGGCCGAAAGGUUGGCUAAUACCCCAUAGUCUUAUACUCGUUAUAAGUAAAGAAUUUCGCCUCGGGAGGGGCCUGCGUAGCAUUAGCUAGUUGGUGAGGUAAGAGCUCACCAAGGCUACGAUGCUUAGCUGGAUCGAGAGGUUGACCAGCCACACUGGGACUGAGAUACGGCCCAGACUCCUACGGGAGGCAGCAGUGAGGAAUCUUCCACAAUGGGGGCAACCCUGAUGGAGCAAUACCGCGUGCAGGAAGACGCUUUUCGGAGUGUAAACUGCUUUUAUAGUUGAAGAUUAUGACGGUAAACUAUGAAUAAGGAUCGGCUAACUACGUGCCAGCAGCCGCGGUAAUACGUAGGAUCCAAGCGUUAUCCGGAAUUACUGGGCGUAAAGCGUGAGCAGGUGGUUUAUUAGGUCAGAUGCGAAAUCUUACGGCUCAACCGUAUAGACUGUGUCUGAAACCAGUAGACUAGAGGUCGGUAGAGGCAAGCGGAAUUUGUAGUGUAGCAGUGAAAUGCGUAGAUAUUACAAGGAACACCAAUGGCGAAGGCAGCUUGCUGGGCCGCACCUGACACUCAGUCACGAAAGCGUGGGGAGCGAACAGGAUUAGAUACCCUGGUAGUCCACGCCGUAAACGAUGGAUGCUAUUGGUAUGGGGUCUCGACCCUUUGUGCCAAGAAGCUAACGCGAUAAGCAUCCCGCCUGGGGAGUACGAACGCAAGUUUAAAACUCAAAGGAAUUGACGGGGACCCGCACAAGCAGUGGAGUAUGUGGUUUAAUUCGAUGCUAAGCGAAAAACCUUACCGAGGCUUGACAUCCCAGGAAUUCCGCCGAAAGGUGGAAGUGCCUUCGGGAACCUGGUGACAGGUGCUGCAUGGCCGUCGUCAGCUCGUGUCGUGAGAUGUUGGGUUAAGUCCCGCAACGAGCGCAACCCUUGUCGUGUGUUAUACUUUCACACGAGACUGCCCGGGUAACUGGGAGGAAGGUGAGGAUGACGUCUGGUCAGCAUGGCCCUUACGCCUCGGGCUACACACGUACUACAAUGGCCGUUACAAUGGGCCUGCCAAGCCGUAAGGUGGAGCGAAUCCCAUCAAAAGCGGUCUCAGUUCGGAUUGAGGGCUGAAACUCGCCCUCAUGAAGUCGGAAUUGCUAGUAAUGGCGGAUCAGCAUGCCGCCGUGAAUACGUUCCCGGGUCU
rnacentral:rRNA from 1 species